GCACAGCAACAACCAGUAGCAUUGGAGCAGUCACAAUUCUCCCAUAUUCCAGCUUUUGGGCACAUUGUAACAACAUCCUUCUCUGGAGAGCUAUGUCUGUGCAUAAUGUAUCAGAAGUAGAAAGAAUCACAAUGUAGGAGCCAGCAGAUUCCCAGAUAUAUGCAGAUGAGACUCAGCUCACAAAUGGCUGUUGGAGAAUGAGCCUACAGAUGUGGAGCAACAGGUAAUCAGCCAUCUGUUAUAAAAGCACAGCAGCAAGCUGAGUCAGCUUUUUCAAAGUCUACAUAGGAAAAGAUCCAAGAGUCAACAGAGACAUUCAAUGAAGCUCCUCAAAAAAAAAAAGAAAAGAAAGAAAAGAAAAAGAAAAAAGAAAAGAAAAGAAAAAGAAAAGAGGUAUGAUUUAAGAAAGUAGACAUGCCUGAGUCAGUUGUAUAAAUGAAAAACGAGUGCAUCAUAUGUCUGCUGGCAAACAAGUCCUGGACCUGACUUCCUGUGCUGAUUCUAUGAUCUUUGAACUAUUACCAGAGUAUACUCAGCUCCAAUUCCUGAAUCUUGGAUUUGUCUAGAAUUCAGGGGUGUCAAACUGGUAGCCCAUGGGCCAGAUGCGUCACACACAGGCCACAGACACCCGAGCUCCGGGAAUGGGGAAAAAAGUUGUGAACCGUCACAUGACAGCAAUGUGAUGUGGCGAGUUUGACACUUGUGGUGUAGAUCGAAUUUCAGGGUUCUAUAGUAAGCUUUUGGGGCUUAUUAUACUUACUAUUUUGAAUUGUCUCAUUCCUACAUUGCGUUAAAAUUGAUAAAUGCUGUAAAAAAA